rnacentral:misc_RNA from 1 species
AAGUCGUAACAAGGUUUCCGUAGGUGAACCUGCGGAAGGAUCAUUAACACGUAUCCAACGUUAAACCCCCCCGUGAACGUACAGUCCGGGUUUACUUCCGGCUCUUCUCGACUUACAGAAAUAUUGGUUGCAAUCCCUGGUAAAUCAUCGCCGAACAGUUUUGAUUCUGGGACUUCCUCAAAGAGUGUGCAUGUUGCGCGAGGCAAGUGGCCUGGCAUUCCCAAGCAGUUAAUGUCUGAAAGUGUCAUUUGCUGUGUAAGGAUGACGCAGUAACGAUCGUUGGAGGCCGACACGGCCGACGACCGGGUCACCGGGCGCAAGCCCCUUUAUCACCACUUGAUGCAUGACAGACGCGCCAGCGCUUAAUUGUGCGGCGACCAAAAACCGAACAACUGUUAACAAUGGAUAUCUUGGUUCUC